rnacentral:misc_RNA from 1 species
CGUAUUUAUUCACCUGGUUUUUACAAACCAGGCGAGAUUUGAGUCGUCCAGCACUGGUGACUUGAAAUGCGUAGCGGUGUUGUGGUGACGGCGUUUGAGCUGCCCACUGCGUAUUCGAAAGUGCCUAUGGCCUACUGUACGUGGUGACCAGCAGUGAGUCUAUCCUCAUGACCGCCCCAAAACAGACUCCUUUGGAGCGAA